AGAGUUUGAUCCUGGCUCAGGAUGAACGCUAGCGACAGGCUUAACACAUGCAAGUCGAGGGGCAGCGAGAGAGUGGCAACACUCUUGUCGGCGACCGGCGCACGGGUGAGUAACACGUAUGCAAUCCACCCCGGGCAGGGGGAUAAUCGGAAGAAAUUCCGUCUAAUACCGCGUAACACCGAUUAAGGGCAUCCUUUUUCGGUCAAAGGUGGCGACACCGGCCCGGGACGAGCAUGCGGCGCAUUAGCCAGUUGGCGGGGCAACGGCCCACCAAAGCAACGAUGCGUAGGGGUUCUGAGAGGAAGGUCCCCCACACUGGUACUGAGACACGGACCAGACUCCUACGGGAGGCAGCAGUGAGGAAUAUUGGUCAAUGGGCGAGAGCCUGAACCAGCCAAGUCGCGUGAGGGAAGACGGUCCUAUGGAUUGUAAACCUCUUUAGCCGGGGAGCAAGGGGCGCCACGCGUGGCGUCUCGGAGAGUACCCGGACAAUAAGCAUCGGCUAACUCCGUGCCAGCAGCCGCGGUAAUACGGAGGAUGCGAGCGUUAUCCGGAUUUAUUGGGUUUAAAGGGUGCGUAGGCGGACAGACAAGUCAGCGGUAAAAUUGCGGCGCUCAACGCCGUAGUGCCGUUGAAACUGUCGGUCUUGAGUGAACGAGAAGUGAGCGGAAUGCGUGGUGUAGCGGUGAAAUGCUUGGAUAUCACGCAGAACUCCGAUUGCGAAGGCAGCUCACCGGCGUUCAACUGACGCUGAAGCACGAAAGCGUGGGGAUCGAACAGGAUUAGAUACCCUGGUAGUCCACGCCGUAAACGAUGAAUGCUAGCCGUGCGGCCCGAAUGUGGGCUGCGUGGCCGAGCGAAAGCGUUAAGCAUUCCACCUGGGGAGUACGCCGGCAACGGUGAAACUCAAAGGAAUUGACGGGGGCCCGCACAAGCGGAGGAACAUGUGGUUUAAUUCGAUGAUACGCGAGGAACCUUACCCGGGCUUGAAUUGCAGGAGAACGAAACAGAGAUGUUGAGGCCCUUCGGGGCUCCUGUGAAGGUGCUGCAUGGUUGUCGUCAGCUCGUGCCGUGAGGUGUCGGCUUAAGUGCCAUAACGAGCGCAACCCCUUUCCGUAGUUGCCAUCGGGUAAAGCCGGGCACUCUGCGGACACUGCCUCCGUAAGGAGCGAGGAAGGUGGGGAUGACGUCAAAUCAGCACGGCCCUUACGUCCGGGGCUACACACGUGUUACAAUGGGGAGUACAGCGCGCAGGCCGUCGGCAACGCCGGUCGAAUCGUCAAAGCUCCCCCCAGUUCGGAUUGGGGUCUGCAACCCGACCCCAUGAAGCUGGAUUCGCUAGUAAUCGCGCAUCAGCCAUGGCGCGGUGAAUACGUUCCCGGGCCUUGCACACACCGCCCGUCA
rnacentral:rRNA from 1 species